rnacentral:rRNA from 1 species
UACGGAGGGGGCUAGCGUUGUUCGGAAUUACUGGGCGUAAAGGGCGCGCAGGCGGCCUUAGAAGUCAGAUGUGAAAGCCCCGGGCUCAACCUGGGAAUGGCAUUUGAUACUCUGAGGCUGGAGUACGGGAGAGGAGAGUGGAAUUCCCAGUGUAGAGGUGAAAUUCGUAGAUAUUGGGAAGAACACCGGUGGCGGAAGGCGGCUCUCUGGACCGUAACUGACGCUGAGGCGCGAAAGCGUGGGGAGCAAACAGG